rnacentral:rRNA from 1 species
CCUACGGGUGGCUGCAGUAGGGAAUCUUCCACAAUGGACGAAAGUCUGAUGGAGCAACGCCGCGUGCAGGAGGAAGGCCUUCGGGUUGUAAACUGCUUUUAACGGGGACGAUUUUGACGGUACCCGUAGAAUAAGGAUCGGCUAACUCCGUGCCAGCAGCCGCGGUCAUACGGAGGAUCCAAGCGUUAUCCGGAAUUACUGGGCGUAAAGAGUUGCGUAGGUGGCAAACCAAGUCUUUGUUUAAAGGCCAAGGCUCAACCUUGGAACAGGCAGGG